CGGGAGGCAGCAGUGGGGAAUAUUGGACAAUGGGGGCAACCCUGAUCCAGCCAUGCCGCGUGUGUGAAGAAGGCCUUUUGGUUGUAAAGCACUUUAAGCAGGGAGGAGAGGCUAAUGGUUAAUACCCAUUAGAUUAGACGUUACCUGCAGAAUAAGCACCGGCUAACUCUGUGCCAGCAGCCGCGGUAAUACAGAGGGUGCGAGCGUUAAUCGGAAUUACUGGGCGUAAAGCGAGUGUAGGUGGCUCAUUAAGUCACAUGUGAAAUCCCCGGGCUUAACCUGGGAACUGCAUGUGAUACUGGUGGUGCUAGAAUAUGUGAGAGGGAAGUAGAAUUCCAGGUGUAGCGGUGAAAUGCGUAGAGAUCUGGAGGAAUACCGAUGGCGAAGGCAGCCAUCUGGCCUAAUACUGACGCUGAGGUACGAAAGCAUGGGGAGCAAACAGGAUUAGAUACCCUGGUAGUCCAUGCCGUAAACGUUGGGCACUAGGUGUGGGGGACAUUCCACGUUUUCCGCGCCGUAGCUAACGCAUUAAGUGCCCCGCCUGGGGAGUACGGCCGCAAGGCUAAAACUCAAAGGAAUUGACGGGGGCCCGCACAAGCGGCGGAGCAUGUGGAUUAAUUCGAUGCAACGCGAAGAACCUUACCUGGUCUUGACAUCCACGGAACUUUCCAGAGAUGGAUUGGUGCCUUCGGGAACCGUGAGACAGGUGCUGCAUGGCUGUCGUCAGCUCGUGUCGUGAGAUGUUGGGUUAAGCCCCGCAACGAGCGCAACCCUCGUUCUAUGUUGCCAGCACGUGAUGGUGGGGACUCAUAGGAGACUGCCGGGGUCAACUCGGAGGAAGGUGGGGAUGACGUCAAAUCAUCAUGCCCCUUAUGUCUUGGGCUUCACGCAUGCUACAAUGGCCGGUACAAAGGGCUGCAAUACCGCAAGGUGGAGCGAAUCCCAAAAAGCCGGUCUCAGUUCGGAUUGGGGUCUGCAACUCGACCCCAUGAAGUCGGAGUCGCUAGUAAUCGCAGAUCAGCAACGCUGCGGUGAAUACGUUCCCGGGCCUUGUACACACCG
rnacentral:rRNA from 1 species